rnacentral:lncRNA from 1 species
AUGGCAUCCCCAUGUAGCGCACAGGCUGAGCCGGCACCGCUUGCCGCGCGUCCGCAGGCGCAAAGGGGCGGCAUCGACUCUCAUCCUGCCGCUGCGGCUCCAGCCGUCUCUGCCGGUCGCCGCCAGCCAGGGAGCAGGAGGGGGCGGUCCCGGAAUCCAAAGGCCUUCGGGCCAGGCUCGCCUCCUCCCGAGGGCCGGGCGCGCGACGGGUCGCCAGAGCAGAACACUACACAGGAAGAACUGGCUUUCUUUCAGUUGCAAGACCAGCAACAGCAAGACCAGUCUGUGAGGAUCACAGAUGCUUUUGCCACAACUAUUUGCCAAAUUAGGAAGUGCAGUGUAAGUCCCUAUGACACCAGUCCACCCAGUACCUGCACUGAUGCUGAUAGGAACAAGGGAACUGAAGGACCCUGGGGCCAGCAGGUAUAAACAAUGAAGAGUGAAAGUGAGCAUCCUGCAAACAUCUUUGGAAAAAAAAAAAAAAACACACAAAAAUUUUUUGUUUUAUUUUGAGCCUCAGAAGGAAUGUUUCUAGUGUUCUUCAUCAAAUAUAAAAAUAGUUGUUGGUUUAAGAUUACUGUGUAUUUUUCUCAUUUUAAUAAAGUGCCUUGUAAUUCUGGUUUUAAAAAGAGUUUCUAUUUUAAAAUGUUUACUAAAGAAGCAAAAUAAAACAGUCAAA